AUUGAACGCUGGCGGCAUGCUUUACACAUGCAAGUCGGACGAGUGGCGAACGGGUGAGUAACGCAUCGGAACGUACCGAGUAAUGGGGGAUAACUGUCCGAAAGGACAGCUAAUACCGCAUAUUAUUCGAGCGGCCGAUGUCUGAUUAGCUGGUUGGCGGGGUAAAGGCCCACCAAGGCGACGCUCAGUAGCGGGUCUGCGAGGAUGAUCCGCAAAACUGGGACUGAGACACGGCCCAGCCCCCUGCGGGAGGCAGCAGGGGGGAUUGUUGGACAAGGGGCGCAAGCCUGAGCCAGCCAUGCCGCUUGUCUGAAGAAGGCUUUGGGGUUGUAAAGGACUUUUGUCAGGGAAGCGGUACCUGAAGAAUAAGCACCGGCUAACUACGUGCCAGCAGCCGCGGUAAUAC
rnacentral:rRNA from 1 species